rnacentral:lncRNA from 1 species
GGGGGGGGCAUUCUCCUGUUCGUGAAAGGCGAGCGGAGAGCUUAAUAAAGAAAAGCAGCUUCCUCCAUUCUAAUCCAACUAGGGGAUUUCGAAGUGGAUUUAGAAUUAAACCUUGAUUAAAGAGAUGUCUUUCCAUCAGCUGCUGCACAGCUGUAUUAGCCGAGAAUUAUCGCGGGAAGGAGAAAGGGGCCAGGAACAGCUGGGCUGAAACGCCGCCUCUCUCUCCCCCCACCCCCCACCCCCGGGCUCGGCUCCGGACGCAGGAGGGUCUCUCGUGGCGACCCAGAGAAGCGGGAGGCUGCUAAUUCCCAGCCCGGCUUCCCCGCGCGGGCUUUUGAGCCUCGGUCCCCUCGCGGGGACUCCAGCCCGGCCGCUCUUCCCCGUGGAUGCUUCGCGUGGUUUGAGUCCGGCGCCGGACGGCGGGAGGCCCCAUGGCUGGGCUCGGGGUGACCGGCUUCGCUGCCGGCGGGACCCUCCGCCUCCUGACCGGAUCCUUCCUCUUGGCUACCACCUCCGGGCUCCAGUGCUACAGCUGCAAUGUGAUCGUGGGCAGCCGGUCGGUCAACACCGGUUGCUCCAGUCCAGAAGUGGUCACCUGCCCCCAUUCCCACCAGGGGUUCAAGCACCGGUUCUGCAUCAAGAUGGAAAGCGCGGUGCUGGGGGUCCUUUUGACCAGCGGAUGUGCCACCUCCCGUCACUGCCAGCAGCAGGAGCUGCCAGGGAUCCGGAUCCACUGCUGCAACAGAGACCUUUGCAAUGGAUCCCCUGCUUGCUCCUCCUGUUCCAUCUGCUACCUGCUGAUCCUGGGGACGCUCCUGCUUACCUUCCUCCUAUGAAGCAGAUCUCAGGAGACCCAAAGGAGCCAGGAGGCCUUCCUCCUCUCUCAUCGUUCUGGGUCCCCUGGAGGCCAUCGGAGGAGGCGGCUUCCUUGGCAUUCACAUUCCCUGAGUUUUGUAAGAACUGGCAAGUCUAAAUAAAGCACGCUGAGAAAUUGCUUUCGGACGUGAU